rnacentral:lncRNA from 1 species
UAUUAUUUUAAUUUUUAAAUCUUAUUUCAACGUGGGCGGAUAAAUUAUUAUAGUCUUAAACGGAUGUAUAAUUUUUUCGGCAAAAACGAGAAAAAAAUUCAUCUCUAUGCAUAUUAUUUCAGAAAAAAUUAACCCAAAAUCGAAAAAUCUGACAAAUAUCCAGCCCAGACUGUCUGGGCCGAAUGUUUAAUAGACGGCCCCGGACGUUUGGCUGGGCCGACUGUUAACAACUAGCCCGGACCGUUUGGGCCCUUUUUAUCCCAUUUUUUCCUGUUUUAGUCGUGCGUAGCAUAUUUUUUUCCUCUCUUUAUCUCCGUAAUUACAAUUUUUUUAAUAAAUGAUGUUUCCUAAUGCAAAUAUGGGAUCGACUGAAGUCCCGAUUCGUUACUUUGGUGAAUUUAAAGAGAACGGAAAUGAACGAUAGAUGAAGAAAUGGACGAGUGAAAGACAUGAUUGUACUGCAAUUGUAAUAACAUCAAGUACAUCAUAUGCAAAAAUUUACAAUGAGUUACAGAACUUGUUCAAAGUCGAUCCCUCUCAGUACGACAUAGAAUUGAGAUUUUUAAUGGACGAGCAUACAUCCAUUUCAAAUUCACCUAUAAUGGUUACUUCUAAAACUGAAAUGAAGAUUUUAAUUGAAAUGAAUAAAAAAAUGUAUGAUUCUUAUUUGUGUAACUUUGAUGAAGAAGAAUGUCCCCAGAGUGAACAUGAAGAUUUCAAUAGAGGGGAUUGUAACGUGAAUGAAUUUUGGGACAUAGUGGAGACGGUUCAUGAGGAUGAAGUGACUAUUCCAGAGACAGUUGAUCAUCACCAUGAUCUCAUUGUUACACACUAAAUUUCCUCGGUAGAUCAAGACAACGAAAAAGAUAACAACUUUACAAAUGAGAAUUUGAUCGCUUUAUCCCGUCUGAGACAUGAAUCGAGUGGGAGCUCACAGACUGGACCGAGUGGACGGUCCUGUAAUUGUUCGCGUGUAGUUACCGAUGAUGAAGAUUUGUAUGUCGAGCAACUGUUUGCACGAAGAAAGAUUCGUAGGAAGCUAUUCACUGACUGCUUUAAAACACAAUUUUGAGUUUAAGGUGAAGAAAUCAAACAAGUUGUGAUGUGAACCCACGUAGGCAAAUGCUACGGAACCCACGAACAAGAUUGAAACCUUCCCAAAAAAGUCAAAGCAAGGUUUUGGAUUAAAUUCAAUAGAUCUGAAACCAAGCAACCCGAAUCGCCGACGAUGUGCGGACCUCUUGAUUACACAAAAAUACGAAAUCUCACCUGGUUGAUUUGAACGCC